AGAGUUUGAUCCUGGCUCAGAUUGAACGCUGCGGCAUGCCUAACACAUGCAAGUCGAACGGAAACGAUGGAAGCUUGCUUCCAGGCGUCGAGUGGCGGACGGGUGAGUAAUGCUUAGGAAUCUGCCCAGUAGUGGGGGACAACUCGAGGAAACUCGAGCUAAUACCGCAUACGCCCUAAGGGGGAAAGCAGGGGAUCUUCGGACCUUGCGCUAUUGGAUGAGCCUAAGUCGGAUUAGCUUGUUGGUGAGGUAAAGGCUCACCAAGGCGACGAUCCGUAGCUGGUCUGAGAGGACGAUCAGCCACACUGGGACUGAGACACGGCCCAGACUCCUACGGGAGGCAGCAGUGGGGAAUAUUGGACAAUGGGGGCAACCCUGAUCCAGCAAUGCCGCGUGUGUGAAGAAGGCCUGCGGGUUGUAAAGCACUUUCAGUAGAGAAGAAAAGCUUAUGGCUAAUACCCGUGAGUCUUGACGUUACCUACAGAAGAAGCUCCGGCUAACUCCGUGCCAGCAGCCGCGGUAAUACGGAGGGAGCGAGCGUUAAUCGGAAUUACUGGGCGUAAAGCGCGCGUAGCGGCUUUGUAAGUCGGAUGUGAAAGCCCAGGGCUUAACCCUGGAAUGCAUUCGGAUAUUGC
rnacentral:rRNA from 1 species